UCCGGGUUGAUCCUGCCAGAGGUUACUGCUAUCGGUGUUCGACUAAGCCAUGCGAGUCAUAUGUUCUUCGUGAACAUGGCGGACUGCUCAGUAACACGUGGAUAACCUGCCCUUAGGUUUGGCAUAACUCCGGGAAACUGGAGAUAAUUCCGAAUAGGUCACAUAUGCUGGAAUGCUUUUUGACCAAAAGACCUUGGUUGCCUAAGGAUGGAUCUGCGGUCUAUCAGGUAGUAGUGGGUGUAACGUACCUACUAGCCUACGACGGAUAUGGGUUGUGAGAGCAAGAGCCCAGAGAUGGAUUCUGAGACAUGAAUCCAGGCCCUACGGGGCGCAGCAGGCGCGAAAACUUUACAAUGCGGGAAACCGCGAUAAGGGGACACCGAGUGCCAGCAUUUAUGUUGGCUGUCCACAUGUGUAAACGGCAUGUGUUAGCAAGGGCCGGGCAAGACCGGUGCCAGCCGCCGCGGUAACACCGGCGGCCCGAGUGGUAAUCACUUUUAUUGGGUCUAAAGGGUCCGUAGCCGGUUUGAUCAGUUCUUCGGGAAAUCUGACAGCUCAACUGUUAGGCUUCCGGGGAAUACUGUCAGACUUGGGACCGGGAGAGGUAAGAGGUACUACAGGGGUAGGAGUGAAAUCUUGU
rnacentral:rRNA from 1 species